GUAGAAACAACACAGGAGGCUAAUACUGCGUUUAGAAGACAUAUAGCAAUUCUUCUAAUGAAGGAGUCAGAAAGCGUGGAGGACUACUGCAUAUACUGCAACUUUAUCAACUGUGAAAAAGAAAUUGAGGAUUGCACGAUGGUCCAGUGUGAUCCUUGCAAGAGGUGGGCACAUAUACCCUGCAUUACAG